rnacentral:rRNA from 1 species
GACAGAGGGUGCGAACGUUGUUCGGAAUUACUGGGCGUAAAGCGCGUGUAGGCGGCUUUGCAAGUCGGAUGUGAAAGCCCACGGCUCAACCGUGGAAGUGCAUCCGAAACUGCAUGGCUUGAGUCUCGGAGAGGAAGGUGGAAUGCUUGGUGUAGAGGUGAAAUUCGUAGAUAUCAAGCAGAACACCUGCGGCGAAGGCGGCCUUCUGGACGAUGACUGACGCUGAGACGCGAAAGCGUGGGGAGCAAACAGG